GUGCAGCAGGCGCGAAAACUCCGCAAUGCUCGAAAGAGUGACGGGGGAUUCCAAGUGCCUACGCUUAGCGUAGGCUGUUCAGAUGCCUAAAAAGCAUCUGGAGUAAGGGCUGGGUAAGACGGGUGCCAUCUGCAGUGGUAAUGAAAAACUUGCUACUGCAAGGCAUAAGCCGCCGCGGUAAGUACCCGCAGCCCGAGUGGUAGUCGCUUUUAUUGGGCCUAAAGCGUCCGUAGCCGGUCUGGUAAAUGCCUGGGGUAAAUCGUGGGGGCCUAACCGUCACGAAUUCCGGGUAGA
rnacentral:rRNA from 1 species